rnacentral:rRNA from 1 species
AUUGAACGCUGGCGGCAUGCCUUACACAUGCAAGUCGAACGGCAGCACGGGAGCAAUCCUGGUGGCGAGUGGCGAACGGGUGAGUAAAGUAUCGGAACGUGCCCAGUCGUGGGGGAUAACGUAGCGAAAGUUACGCUAAUACCGCAUACGACCUAUGGAUGAAAGCGGGGGAUCGCAAGACCCCGCGCGAUUGGAGCGGCCGAUAUCAGAUUAGGUAGUUGGUGGGGUAAGGGCUCACCAAGCCGACGAUCUGUAGCUGGUCUGAGAGGACGACCAGCCACACUGGGACUGAGACACGGCCCAGACUCCUACGGGAGGCAGCAGUGGGGAAUUUUGGACAAUGGGCGAAAGCCUGAUCCAGCCAUGCCGCGUGCAGGAUGAAGGCCUUCGGGUUGUAAACUGCUUUUGUACGGAACGAAAAGGUUUGGCCUAAUAAGCUGAGCUCAUGACGGUACCGUAAGAAUAAGCACCGGCUAACUACGUGCCAGCAGCCGCCGUAA